UAAAGAUUCAUCGGCUGCGGAUGGCCAUGCGGCGCAUUAGCUAGUCGGCGGGGUAACGGCCCACCGAGGCGACGAUGCGUAGGGGUUCUGAGAGGAAGGUCCCCCACACUGGUACUGAGACACGGACCAGACUCCUACGGGAGGCAGCAGUGAGGAAUAUUGGUCAAUGGCCGGGAGGCUGAACCAGCCAAGUCGCGUGAGGGAAGACGGCCCUACGGGUUGUAAACCUCUUUUGUCAGGGAGCAAGAGGCGGGUCGAGACCUGCUGUGAGAGUACCUGAAGAAAAAGCAUCGGCUAACUCCGUGCCAGCAGCCGCGGUAAUACGGAGGAUGCGAGCGUUAUCCGGAUUUAUUGGGUUUAAAGGGUGCGCAGGCGGAGGCACAAGUCAGCGGUAAAAUCGCGGGGCUCAACCCCGCUCCGCCGUUGAAACUGUGUCCCUUGAGUGCGCGAAGGGUAGGCGGAAUGCGUGGUGUAGCGGUGAAAUGCAUAGAUAUCACGCAGAACUCCGAUCGCGAAGGCAGCCUACCGGCGCGCAACUGACGCUCAUGCACGAAAGCGUGGGUAUCGAGCAGGAUUAGAUACCCUGGUAGUCCACGCAGUAAACGAUGAAUGCUAUCUGUCCGGCCGGAAUGACGGCUGG
rnacentral:rRNA from 1 species